ACCCGCUGAACUUAAGCAUAUCAAUAAGCGGAGGAAAAGAAACCAACAGGGAUUGUCUUAGUAACGGCGAGUGAAGCGACAAAAGCUCAAAUUUGAAAUCUGGCACCUUCGGUGUCCGAGUUGUAAUUUGAAGAAGGUAACUUUGGAGUUGGGUCUUGUCUAUGUUCCUUGGAACAGGACGUCACAGAGGGUGAGAAUCCCGUGCGAUGAGAUGUCCAACUCUAUGUAAAGUGCUUUCGAAGAGUCGAGUUGUUUGGGAAUGCAGCUCUAAGUGGGUGGUAAAUUCCAUCUAAAGCUAAAUAUUGGCGAGAGACCGAUAGCGAACAAGUACAGUGAUGGAAAGAUGAAAAGAACUUUGAAAAGAGAGUGAAAAAGUACGUGAAAUUGUUGAAAGGGAAGGGUUUGAGAUCAGACUUGGUAUUUUGUAUGUCUUGCUUUCGGGUGGGGCCUCUGCAGUUUACUGGGCCAGCAUCGGUUUGGACGGUAGGAUAAUGACAUUGGAAUGUGGCACUACUUCGGUGGUGUGUUAUAGACUUUGUUGAUACUGCCUGUCUAGACCGAGGACUGC
rnacentral:rRNA from 1 species